rnacentral:rRNA from 1 species
GGGGGGGCAGCUACACAUGCAGUCGAGCGGCAGCGGAAGUAGCUUGCUACUUUGCCGGCGAGCGGCGGACGGGUGAGUAAUGUCUGGGAAACUGCCUGAUGGAGGGGGAUAACUACUGGAAACGGUAGCUAAUACCGCAUAACGUCGCAAGACCAAAGAGGGGGACCUUCGGGCCUCUUGCCAUCAGAUGUGCCCAGAUGGGAUUAGCUAGUAGGUGGGGUAACGGCUCACCUAGGCGACGAUCCCUAGCUGGUCUGAGAGGAUGACCAGCCACACUGGAACUGAGACACGGUCCAGACUCCUACGGGAGGCAGCAGUGGGGAAUAUUGCACAAUGGGCGCAAGCCUGAUGCAGCCAUGCCGCGUGUAUGAAGAAGGCCUUCGGGUUGUAAAGUACUUUCAGCGGGGAGGAAGGUGUUGAGGUUAAUAACCUCAGCAAUUGACGUUACCCGCAGAAGAAGCACCGGCUAACUCCGUGCCAGCAGCCGCGGUAAUACGGAGGGUGCAAGCGUUAAUCGGAAUUACUGGGCGUAAAGCGCACGCAGGCGGUCUGUCAAGUCAGAUGUGAAAUCCCCGGGCUCAACCUGGGAACUGCAUUCGAAACUGGCAGGCUAGAGUCUUGUAGAGGGGGGUAGAAUUCCAGGUGUAGCGGUGAAAUGCGUAGAGAUCUGGAGGAAUACCGGUGGCGAAGGCGGCCCCCUGGACAAAGACUGACGCUCAGGUGCGAAAGCGUGGGGAGCAAACAGGAUUAGAUACUCUGGUAGUCCACGCCGUAAACGAUGUCGACUUGGAGGUUGUGCCCUUGAGGCGUGGCUUCCGGAGCUAACGCGUUAAGUCGACCGCCUGGGGAGUACGGCCGCAAGGUUAAAACUCAAAUGAAUUGACGGGGGCCCGCACAAGCGGUGGAGCAUGUGGUUUAUUUCGAUGCAACGCGAAGAACCUUUACCCUACUCUUGACAUCCAGAGAACUUUUCCAGAGAUGGAUUGGGUGCCUUUCGAGAACUCUGAGACAGGUGCUGCAUGGGCUGUCGUCAGCUCGUGUGUGAAAUGUGGGGUAAGUCCGCAACGAGCGCAACCUUUAUCUUGGUGGCAAGCGUCGGCGGACUCAAAGGAGACUGCCAGUGAAUAACUUGGAGAAGGGUGGGGAUC